GCCUCGAGAAGCAAGCGGGUGGUGGACUGUGGGUCUAAGAAGGAUGAUGUUAACAAAAGUCUGAGCAGGAGAGGAGAAGAGGCCUACAGCCAUUCAGGUGCCUAUGGAAAGAACUUCCUGCAAAGAAGUCUCAGCAAGAGCAGACAGAUAUUCCUGAAAACAAGGUCUUCCUGACUCAGAGGGCCCAUUUAACAACCUCUUGGAUCUUCAUCUUCUUCCUUUCUUGCUUCUACUGCUUUAUUCUGGAUCCUUCUCUUCAAGAUACUGAAUAUCAGAGCACUGGAGAUCAACACCUUGGAGCUGGCAAACUUGCUUCACGUACAGCUUGACGGUUUUGUGAGAUGGUGAAAUGACUAAAGUUACCUAUUUUCCAAUGAAAAUACACUCCAAUUCCACCGGGUAAUGUCACUCCUAAACCCAGGAAUGGAACAAAUGUAAAGUUUUAAAAUAAAUUUGAGACACUAUACCCAGUGCCUACAUCCAUUGCUUGUCUGUGAGGAUGUGGACAUAUUUUGAUCACAUUGAACAGUUGAAAAUUUUAAAUAUUAUAAAAUGGCAAUUAAAAUUAAAUCACUAAAAAUCCUGUGUUGAUCAACUAAACUUAUAGUAAAACCAAAGCCUAUAUUCUUGUUUAUUACAUACUCUACUAUACUAAACCAAUACAUUGGCACUGUUCUUUGUUUUAUUUAUCUAACUAGACCUGGUAGCUUAGAUGGGAGAAAAAAAUAGCCGUUAAACCAAUUUAUUGGUGUUUCAUGUCUUUGAUAUCUAGGUUUGAUCUCAAUUUCUUACUUUUCCUCUCAUGAUUUGUACUGAGGCAAUAAUUUCUAAAUAUAUUUUCUGAAGAACUUUAAAGCUUUCAUAAAAGUAGAAUAAUUUUUAAAAGUAUUUUCCAUUCAGGUAAUACCAUAAUUAUGAUGAGAUUUGGAAUAUUCUCUUCUCAUGGAAAUGAAAAUUUUGAUGGAUAGAAAUAGUUUACAUAAAGAAUUAAAUGCAACAGCUUUUUAAAGGUCUAUUUGGCAAUUUAUUUAUUUACUUAGCAUUUCAUUUGUUAGACUGGAAGUAGCCAAAGAAACUCUCUCAAAAUAA